rnacentral:rRNA from 1 species
CAUUUUAAUCCCUUAACGAGGAACCAUUGGAAGGGCAAGUCUGGUGCCAGCACCCGUGGUAAUUCCAAGCUCCAAUAGCGUAUAUUAAAGUUGUUGUGGUUAAAAAGCUCGUAGUUGAACCUUGGGCCUGGCUGGCCGGUCCGCCUCACCGCGUGUACUGGUCCGGCCGGGCCUUCCCUUCUGUGGAACCCCAUGCCCUUCACUGGGUGUGGCGGGGAAACAGGACUUUUACUGUGAAAAAAUUAGAGUGCUCCAGGCAGGCCUAUGCUCGAAUACAUUAGCAUGGAAUAAUAGAAUAGGACGUGUGGUUCUAUUUUGUUGGUUUCUAGGACCGCCGUAAUGAUUAAUAGGGACAGUCGGGGGCAUCAGUAUUCAAUUGUCAGAGGUGAAAUUCUUGGAUUUAUUGAAGACUAACUACUGCGAAAGCAUUUGCCAAGGAUGUUUUCAUUAAUCAGGAACGAAAGUUAGGGGAUCGAAGACGAUCAGAUACCGUCGUAGUCUUAACCAUAAACUAUGCCGACUAGGGAUCGGACGGUGUUAUUUUUUGACCCGUUCGGCACCUUACGAGAAAUCAAAGUGCUUGGGCUCCAGGGGGAGUAUGGUCGCAAGGCUGAAACUUAAAGAAAUUGACGGAAGGGCACCACCAGGGGUGGAGCCUGCGGCUUAAUUUGACUCAACACGGGGAAACUCACCAGGUCCAGACACAAUGAGGAUUGACAGAUUGAGAGCUCUUUCUUGAUUUUGUGGGUGGUGGUGCAUGGCCGUUCUUAGUUGGUGGAGUGAUUUGUCUGCUUAAUUGCGAUAACGAACGAGACCU